rnacentral:rRNA from 1 species
UGAGCAAUCUGCCCUUCUCUUCGGAAUAAGCGUUGGAAACGACGUCUAAUGCCGAAUACGACCUCCUUUCGCAUGAUCGGAGGUGGAAAGCUUCGGCGGAGAAGGAUGAGCUCGCGGCCUAUCAGCUUGUUGGUGGGUAAUGGCCUACCAAGGCUUCGACGGGUAGCCGGCCUGAGAGGGUGAUCGGCCACACGUGGGACUGAGACACGGCCCAGACCUCCGUACGGGA